UUCAGAGUUAUUUGGAACAGGUCCUAUACCCUAGGUUCAGAGUUAUUUGGAACAGGUCCUAUACCCUAGGUUCAGAGUUAUUUGGAACAGGUCCUAUACCCUAGGUUCAGAGUUAUUUGGAACAGGUCCUAUACCCUAGGUUCAGAGUUAUUUGGAACAGGUCCUAUACCCUAGGUUCAGAGUUAUUUGGAACAGGUCCUAUACCCUAGGUUCAGAGUUAUUUGGAACAGGUCCUAUACCCUAGGUUCAGAGUUAUUUGGAACAGGUCCUAUACCCUAGGUUCAGAGUUAUUUGGAACAGGUCCUAUACCCUAGGUUCAGAGUUAUUUGGAACAGGUCCUAUACCCUAGGUUCAGAGUUAUUUGGAACAGGUCCUAUACCCUAGGUUCAGAGUUAUUUGGAACAGGUCCUAUACCCUAGGUUCAGAGUUAUUUGGAACAGGUCCUAUACCCUAGGUUCAGAGUUAUUUGGAACAGGUCCUAUACCCUAGGUUCAGAGUUAUUUGGAACAGGUCCUAUACCCUAGGUUCAGAGUUAUUUGGAACAGGUCCUAUACCCUAGGUUCAGUUAUUUGAAACAGGUCCUAUACCCUAGGUUCAGUUAUUUGAAACAGGUCCUAUACCCUAGGUUCAGUUAUUUGAAACAGGUCCUAUGCCCUAGGUUCAGUUAUUUGAAACAGGUCCUAUGCCCUAGGUUCAGUUAUUUGAAACAGGUCCUAUACCCUAGGUUCAGUUAUUUGAAACAGGUCCUAUACCCUAGGUUCAGUUAUUUGGAACAGGUCCUAUACCCUAGGUUCAGAGUUAUUUGGAACAGGUCCUAUACCCUAGGUUCAGUUAUUUGAAACAGGUCCUAUACCCUAGGUUCAGUUAUUUGAAACAGGUCCUAUACCCUAGGUUCAGUUAUUUGAAACAGGUCCUAUGCCCUAGGUUCAGUUAUUUGAAACAGGUCCUAUGCCCUAGGUUCAGUUAUUUGAAACAGGUCCUAUGCCCUAGGUUCAGUUAUUUGAAACAGGUCCUAUACCCUAGGUUCAGUUAUUUGAAACAGGUCCUAUACCCUAGGUUCAGUUAUUUGGAACAGGUCCUAUACCCUAGGUUCAGUUAUUUGGAACAGGUCCUAUACCCUAGGUUCAGUUAUUUGAAACAGGUCCUAUACCCUAGGUUCAGUUAUUUGAAACAGGUCCUAUACCCUAGGUUCAGUUAUUUGAAACAGGUCCUAUACCCUAGGUUCAGUUAUUUGGAACAGGUCCUAUACCCUAGGUUCAGUUAUUUGAAACAGGUCCUAUACCCUAGGUUCAGUUAUUUGAAACAGGUCCUAUACCCUAGGUUCAGUUAUUUGAAACAGGUCCUAUACCCUAG